rnacentral:tRNA from 1 species
UCGGGGUUCGUCUAACGGUAGGACAGCGGCCUUUGGAGCCGCCCGUGGAGGUUCGAAUCCUCCACCCCGAGCCA